UCCUGCAGCGUGCAACCACUACUGGGGCAGCUCACGACUCCUCUUGGCCAUGGACCUCAGAGCCCAUACAGGUGAAAUGUGAGACGUAACUUUGCCUUGUGUGGCCCUAAUGAACAUAAGGUGGGCAAAGCUGCUGGAGCAUCCUCAUGCCAUGAUCUUCGAGGAGCAACAUCGCAGCGCAGUGCCUUGUCAUGGUGGGGCAUGGCAUUGAGAGCUGCUGGCCACCAGGAGGGAGACAAAGGGAAGGUGACCAUCUUUCCGAAAUGGAGCAUGUAGCAGCUGCCUGGGAUGCUGCCUUGCAAAAGUGGUGGGGAAGUAUUUACAUUAUUAAACAUUGUGAUGACAAGUGUCUUGGGAUCUUGCAAGGCUGUAUUGCUAAGUAAGGCAACAAGCAGUGUAACUCCUGGCAUGUUUUGAAGUAACUAAAUGGAUCCAAUGACAAUUCAUUUUUUAAUAGAUGAAAGAGAAGCAGGCUUCAAAACAGAUAAUGAAUUUCUUCUAACUCGUCUGGAGACUGAAGAGCCAUAAUUCUGAUUGAUCAGAUAUGGUCUGCUUCAGAGAGGCACCAGAUGUGAUCCAGAUUUUAAAUAGAUGCUGCUACUGUCAAAAUGCAUUCGCUCCCUCCUGGU
rnacentral:lncRNA from 1 species